rnacentral:rRNA from 1 species
AUUAGUCUUUUAAUUGGAGACUGGUAUGAAUGGCUCAACGAGAAAUUGACUUUUUUUGUUAUAUAAAUCGAAUUUAAUUUUUUAGUGAAAAAGCUAAAAUUUUUCAGAAAGACGAGAAGACCCUAUAGAGUUUUAUAUUUUGUAAUAUUUUUUCUUAUUAGUUUUUUUUGGACUAAAUAUAAAAAAAUAUUUUGUUGGGGCGACAUUUAGAUAAAAAAAACUCUUUAUUUUUUAAAUUUCUAUAGAAAUAUAAUUGAUCCUUAAGUAAAGAUCAAAAGAAAAAAUUACCUUAGGGAUAACAGCGUAAUCUUUUUUGAGAGUUCUAAUCGACAAAAAGGUUUGCGACCUCGAUGUUGGACUAAAAUUUAGGCAGGGUGCAGCAGUUCUGCUUUAAGGUCUGUUCGACCUAUAAUAUUUUACACGAUCUGAGUUCAGACCGGCGUAAG